UCCGAAAAAGUCACUAUUUUACAACAAAAAAAUGGGCAAUUUUGUGAUAAAAGUCAGAAUUUGAAAAAUGAGUUGGAAUUUCACCAGAAUAACUUAGAUUUUUGGCAGUAUUAUAAUAAAAGUCGUCAUUU